AAACAUUCCAAUAAAUGCAUGAUUUUAUAACAAAUUUCAUAAUACUAAUAUCUGAAUGAAUCUUUAGAUUUGUUACAACUCACAACAUUCCAUCACAACAUUUAUCAAUGAAAUCAAUAACAAUGUUAUUGGUUCUUUGAGAAGUCAAUGAACUCUGGCUCAAAGAGAAAGGAGUCAACUGGUAAAAUGAAUUACUUUUGGUACAUGGUUGCUAUGUCAUCUAUAUUCGUGAAAUUGACAUCAUGACAUGGCCGUAUUGGCUCAACAGCCUCCUGAAGAUUCAAAUAAAAUUAUUUUCAGUUGAAAGCAUAAAUUUUAUGAAAAAAUGCUAAGUAAGAAAAAACGUAAGAGAAUUUUAUUGGUAAAAAUGACAUUUAUUUUCUUUCUUCAUUUGGAAUUCAUCAAUAGCAUAGAUAGACUCACCUUCUGUCCAAUUACUCCAAUUUGGCGUACCUCACAGCGUAAGGUGAAGUUGGCAG
rnacentral:lncRNA from 1 species